GAUGAACGCUGACAGAAUGCUUAACACAUGCAAGUCUUUGGCGAAGCUGUGCUUGCACAGCCUAGCCAAGGCGGACGGGUGAGUAACGCGUAAGGAACUUGCCCUGCAGUCAGGGAUAACAGACGGAAACGACUGAUAAGACCUGGUAAAGUCAGGCGGACUCAUGUCCAGCCUGAUGAAAAGAGAUGCUGCAGGAGAGCCUUGCGUCCUAUUAGCUUGUUGGUGGGGUAACGGCCCACCAAGGCGAUGAUAGGUAGCCGGCCUGAGAGGGUGGACGGCCACAAGGGGACUGAGAUACGGCCCUUACUCCUACGGGAGGCAGCAGUGGGGAAUAUUGGACAAGGGGGGCAACCCUGAUCCAGCAAUUCUGUGUGCACGAUGAAGGUUUUCGGAUUGUAAAGUGCUUUCAGCAGGGAAGAAAAAAAUGACGGUACCUGCAGAAGAAGCGACGGCUAAAUACGUG
rnacentral:rRNA from 1 species